rnacentral:rRNA from 1 species
GACGAACGCUGGCGGCGUGCUUAACACAUGCAAGUCGAACGGUGAAGGGACCAGCUUGCUGGUUCUGGAUGAGUGGCGAACGGGUGAGUAACACGUGAGUAACCUGCCCCCUUCUUCUGGAUAACCGCAUGAAAGUGUGGCUAAUACGGGAUAUUCUGGGUCUGUCGCAUGGCGGGCCCGGGAAAGAUAUUGCUUCGGUGGGGGAUGGGCUCGCGGCCUAUCAGCUUGUUGGUGGGGUGAUGGCCUACCAAGGCGGUGACGGGGAGCCGGCCUGAGGGGGUGGACGGUCACACUGGGACUGAGACACGGCCCAGACUCCUACGGGAGGCAGCAGUGGGGAAUAUUGCACAAUGGGCGCAAGCCUGAUGCAGCGACGCCGCGUGAGGGAUGGAGGCCUUCGGGUUGUAAACCUCUUUCGCCAGUGAAGCAGGCCUGCUCCUUGUGGGUGGGUUGACGGUAGCUGGAUAAGAAGCGCCGGCUAACUACGUG